GACGAACGCUGGCGGCGUGCUUAACACAUGCAAGUCGAACGAUGAAGCCGGAGCUUGCUCUGGUGAAUUAGUGGCGAACGGGUGAGUAACACGUGAGUAACCUGCCCUUGACUCUGGGAUAACUGCGGGAAACUGUAGCUAAUACCGGAUACGACCCUCGGAGGCAUCUCCUGGGGGUGGAAAGAAUUUCGGUCAAGGAUGGACUCGCGGCCUAUCAGCUAGUUGGUGAGGUAAGGGCUCACCAAGGCGACGACGGGUAGCCGGCCUGAGAGGGUGACCGGCCACACUGGGACUGAGACGCGGCCCAGACUCCUACGGGAGGCAGCAGUGGGGAAUAUUGCACAAUGGGCGCAAGCCUGAUGCAGCAACGCCGCGUGAGGGAUGACGGCCUUCGGGUUGUAAACCUCUUUUAGCAGGGAAGAAGCGAAAGUGACGGUACCUGCAGAAAAAGCACCGGCUAACUACGUGCCAGCAGCCGCCGUAA
rnacentral:rRNA from 1 species